GGAGGUAGUGACAAUAAAUCACAAUGCGGAACUUCUGUUUUGCAAUUGGAUUGAGAACAACGCACAACACUUAUCGAUAAACAAUUGGAGGGCAAGUCUGGUGCCAGCAGCCGCGGUAAUUCCAGCUCCAAUAGCGUAUAUUAACGUUGUUGCAGUUAAAAAGCUCGUAGUUGAAGUGAAGUGUGAAUCUCUAGGAUUUUCGUUUGAAUUUCCUUUAGCUUCAUACUCUUUCCAAAUAGUUUGCAUGGGUAUUUACUUAUCUGUGUAUUGCAUUUGGUCAUUUACUGUGAGAAAAUUAGAGUGUUCAAAGCAUACGUUUGUUUGAAUACAUUAGCAUGGAAUAAUUCGAAAAGGCUUUCAUGUUCGAUUUGAUUGGUUUGUUCGUGAAGGCAAGAUUAAAAGGGACAGUUGGGGGUAUUCAUAUUCAAUAGUCAGAGGUGAAAUUCUCGGAUUUAUGGAAGAUGAACAAGUGCGAAAGCA
rnacentral:rRNA from 1 species